GGCGGACGGGUGAGUAACGCGUGGGUAACCUGCCUCAUACAGGGGGAUAACAGUUAGAAAUGACUGCUAAUACCGCAUAGUAUGAGAUGGACCCGCGUCUGAUUAGGUAGUUGGUGGGGUAACGGCCUACCAAGCCGACGAUCAGUAGCCGACCUGAGAGGGUGACCGGCCACAUUGGGACUGAGACACGGCCCAAACUCCUACGGGAGGCAGCAGUGGGGAAUAUUGCACAAUGGGGGAAACCCUGAUGCAGCGACGCCGCGUGAGCGAUGAAGUAUUUCGGUAUGUAAAGCUCUAUCAGCAGGGAAGCGGUACCUGACUAAGAAGCACCGGCUAAAUACGUGCCAGCAGCCGCGGUAAUACGUAUGGUGCAAGCGUUAUCCGGAUUUACUGGGUGUAAAGGGAGCGUAGACGGAGUGGCAAGUCUGAUGUGAAAACCCGGGGCUCAACCCCGGGACUGCAUUGGAAACUGUCAAUCUAGAGUACCGGAGAGGUAAGCGGAAUUCCUAGUGUAGCGGUGAAAUGCGUAGAUAUU
rnacentral:rRNA from 1 species